rnacentral:misc_RNA from 1 species
GUGAUUCAAACUCAUUGAAGUUUAUGAUAUGAUAUCUCAACUGCUCUCUUAUAAAUCAAGUUCUAAGGAUGACUACAUAAGCAUCAUAACAUAAACUUCAAUGAGUUUGAAUCACAAACGAAUACCACACAACACUAUAAACAAAUGAAACAUCCAUCUACAUGUUGAAUACUUUUAUCUACACCAACUAGCAGUAUCAGACGCUUCAUUUCGAUAGGACUGGAAAUUUGGCUACUGACGCAUCACAAGCUGCCAUGCGUCAAUGCCCCUUGAAGAUUUUUCACAGCACUGUCGUAGUGUACGAAACCCAUGAACCAAAAUUCAUGAUUGUCUACUGAGAUAAUCUGGAUGUAUUUUUCUCCAGGUUUCGCCUUGCUUGUUGAAGGGUUGACAGCCCUCAGUUGGUGUAAUGGAAGGACAACCUUGUAAUAGCUCCAUUGAGUUUGCUCACCAACUUGGUAAGAAAGAGGAUUGUCACUACAAAAUGCAAGCUUUGCAGUAGACAAAUAUAGAACUCCCAUAACUGGACCAGCAGAAGUGGAUAGGUAGCAUGCAUAUGUCUUCUGAAGUUGUUCCUCGGGAACAGUGUCAAAAGUUUGUCGAAAGAUUUUCUCAUAACCUCCUUCUGCAAGAACUUUAGUUUGCUGAGCAAUUCUUCCCACAGCAGCAUCAGCAAAACUAGGGCCUGUUUUCAAGUGUUGCCACAUGUUGCCAGCAAGGUCCUCGGCCUUCUUGGUUGCCUCCGCAGCCUUCUUUCCCCAUUUCCCCAGCACAUCCUUUACCGUUUCCAUCGUAUUCUUGGAGGAAGAUGGGGCAACAGGCGCCGGAGAUACGUAGGGAUUAGACUCGGCAGGCAUGGCAGUGGCAGCAGCACCAGCGAUCGGAGCUGGGCCUUCGGCUGGAGCAGGGGGGGGCUGUGGUGAGGGACCCGUAGAUACGUUAGCCCAAUUCUCA